rnacentral:rRNA from 1 species
UACCAGCACCCCGAGUGGUCGGGACGUUUAUUGGGCCUAAAGCAUCCGUAGCCGGUUUUACAAGUCCCCCGUUAAAUCCAGCUGCUUAACAGAUGGGCUGCGGAGGAUACUAUAAGACUAGGAGGCAGGAGAGGCAAGCGGUACUCAGUGGGUAGGGGUAAAAUCCGUUGAUCCAUUGAAGACCACCAGUGGCGAAGGCGGCUUGCCAGAAUGCGCUCGACGGUGAGGGAUGAAAGCUAGGGGAGCAAACCGG